GACGAACGCUGGCGGCGUGCCUAAUACAUGCAAGUCGAGCGGGCCUCCGGAGGUGCUUGCACCUCCGGAAGGCCAGCGGCGGACGGGUGAGUAACACGUGGGCAACCUGCCUUUGAGGCCGGGAUAACACCGGGAAACCGGUGCUAAUACUGGAUGCGUCCGCUUUCGCGCCUGCGAGAGGGGAGAAAGACGGUCUUUAAGGCCGUCGCUCAAAGAGGGGCCCGAGGCGCACUAGCUGGUUGGUGGGGGAAGGGCCUACCAAGGCGACGAUGCGUUGCCGACCUGAGAGGGUGAUCGGCCACACUGGGACUGAGACACGGCCCAGACUCCUGCGGGAGGCAGCAGUAGGGAAUCAUCCGCAAUGGGCGAAAGCCUGACGGCGCAACGCCGCGUGAGUGAGGAAGGUUUUCGGAUCGUAAAGCUCUGUUGUGAGGGAAGAACAGCUUCCGGAGGAAAUGCCGGGAGCCUGCCGGUACCUCACCAGAAAGCCCCGGCUAACUACGUGCCAGCCGCCGCGGUAACAC
rnacentral:rRNA from 1 species